UCAUGAUUAUGUAAUGAUUAGAUAAAAAAUUAAAAAAUAUUUACAUUUUAAUAAUAAUUAGAAAAACGAUGAGAUAAGAUGAUAUUGAUUACGAAACUUUAGAUAUUUGUACGAUUUGCUUAUUGACCAAAUUUCUAUGUUUUCAGUUUGUUUAUAGCCAUGUUGCAAGUUUCUAGAUUUGGCAAUGGAAAAUGCUUUUUGCAAUUGUGUUGGGGAGCCACAGCGUAGUCGGUGCCAAUGUGGCAUUAAUGAAACGGUUUGUUUCAUUCAAUUGUAGCCGCCUCGAUUUCUUUCUUUCUUCCCUCACAUUUUACACUUCGAUUCUUUUUGUUCUUCUCUCUCCCAUUUUCAAUCCCUUCGAUGAAAAUUUUUCCCAUCCCCUUAUCCCCACAGAAUAUAGAGACUUCGAUUCCUCCAUCUUCCGGAAGCAUUUUCCUUCAAUUUAUGAGGAAUAGUUAUCCCAUUCGAUUCCCCCACAUUUUUCUCCCAUUCAAUUUCACCAUCUCCAUCUCCUUCUCCCUUUCUCUUCUUUUUCCAUCUUCAAGAUCUCCAUCAUCAUGUUCCUUCGUAGUUCAGUCUGAUAACCAUAACCUUAACCCUAACAUUUCCUCUUUCUCUUCCUUUUAAAAAUCCUAACCCGUUCAUUUCCCAUUUUUUCGAAAACCCUAACCCUAACAUUUUCCCUUUCUCUUCAUUUUGAAAACCAUAACCCUAACAUUUUCACUUUCUAUUCAUUUCGAAAACCCAAACCCUAACCCUAACCAAGCUUCGAUUUCUCUUCAAAACUUGAACCCUAACCAUUUCUCCUUUCUCUUUGUAACCCUAACCAUCACUAAACAACAUGGUCUCAUUCUCAUGAAUGAGAAUGACUGACCGAGAAGCUUAAAGCAUGGUAAGCUCUCUCACCCUAACUCUGAAAACUAAUGAUUUCUAAUAUAGUAAGUUCUCUGAUAUUUUACAUCUGAUGAUUCAUUAUUUCAUUUGUAUGUUUGAGUGUGCAACAUCUUUGAAGUAAAUCAGUUCUGUCUAGUUUGGAUUGCUAAAUUAUUCUGUUUUAAUUUAAGUAAAUCAAUUUUAUUUUUUUGGUUUGGAAGAGGUACAUUAUUGUGUUUUAAUUUAAUGAAGUGGCUUUUUCAAACUGGUUGAUGGUGGCUAUUGUUACUCCAUUUUGUUUAUAUUGAAGUAAAUCACUUUUGCUUUUUGGUUUGGAGGAGAUACAUUGUUGGGUUUUCAUUCAAUGAAGCAUCUAAUGGUGGCUUUUUCAAACUGGUUGAUGGUGGCUAUUUUUACUCCAUUAUGUUUAUAUUGAAGUAAAUCACUUUUGUUUUUUGGAUUGGAAGAGGUACAUUAUUGUGUUUUCAUUUAAAAGCGUCUAAUGGUGGCUUUGUCAAAUUGGUUGAUGGUGGCUAUUGUUACUCCAUUCUGUUUAUAUUGAAGUAAAUCAAUCCUAUUUUUUAGUUUGGAAGAGGUACAUUAUUGUGUUUUAAUUUAAUGUAGCAUCUAAUUUUCCCUUUGCCUUAUUGUUUGAUCUUAGAAAUUGUAAAAUGUUUUUUUUCCUGCUGUUUAGAUUAUUGUAUUGUGAAUCUAUUUUUAGUUAGAAUGUCAUCAUCAUCAAUGUCUUUUGCAUUUGUUGUUGAUCUACUUUGAGUACACCAGUGCGCUUUUGUGAGGUUGAAGCCACACUAAGAUACUCAAAUACUACAAGAAAUCAUAGCUUAGCCUUCUUAGGAUGUCAAAAGUACAACAUUGAGGGAUUACUGUACUGCAAGUAUUUUAAGUGGGCAAAUAGUCAGGACAUAGACCGAGACCUUCUAAAAGAGAAAAAUAAGUUGCUAAAAUACAUGGACAAGAGACUCAACAAUAUUGAGAAAAUGGAGAUUCAUCUCUAAAAGAAAGCAGAUGAGAUCAAGAAGAAAGAGAUUUUGCUAGCCAAUAGAAAUGAAGAGAUUGUGAAGAAGAAGUGGAUGCUUCUUCAGUAACAAGCUGAAAUCAGGCGCUCCCGCACACUACUCCGGCUAUUUUGGGCUUUUGUCAUUAUUGUGAUUUGUUACAUGCUAGUAUCUAAGUGAUGUCAGAUUGUAUCUCACAAGUUAUUUGAUAGUAGUAAGGUUAUUGCAAAAAAUUUGUCUGUUAAUACUCUUAAGUUAGUCAGAGCUAAUGUGAAGUGAUGGUGGAAAUACUGUAAC